ensembl:lncRNA
UACCACAUGACAUUGAAACUGCCCAGGACAUUUCCUCCGUUCAUCACACAGGCUGCCUAAAAAAAGAGAUUACUCUCAGAGGAGCACAGUGGGAGCUCCUGCCAGCCCAACCUGCAGCUCCCUCACUCAUGUGGACAAACAGAGCAUGUGCGGGGAAGAGAUACAGGACCUGAGCCCUCGGACCAUGCCUCAGGACUACCUGGCAUGAUGACUCCUUGCUGUCCCCAGUUCACCUGGCCGUGCUGCUGCUCCAGUUUCAACUCUUCUGCCUGCGGCUAUGGAAUCCUGACCUGUUCACCGGACGUGCUACCUGUCCCAGACCUUCUGUUUUCAACUCUCUAGAGACAGCAGGAUUGGUAGAGAUACUCUUAAUGAUCGGCUAUGAAAAGCCAACUGACAUGUACUCCUGCGGUGCUGACUUGCUGCACCCUCGACAACUA